rnacentral:rRNA from 1 species
GCAGUCGAGCGGACAGAUGGGAGCUUGCUCCCUGAUGUUAGCGGCGGACGGGUGAGUAACACGUGGGUAACCUGCCUGUAAGACUGGGAUAACUCCGGGAAACCGGGGCUAAUACCGGAUGGUUGUUUGAACCGCAUGGUUCAAACAUAAAAGGUGGCUUCGGCUACCACUUACAGAUGGACCCGCGGCGCAUUAGCUAGUUGGUGAGGUAACGGCUCACCAAGGCAACGAUGCGUAGCCGACCUGAGAGGGUGAUCGGCCACACUGGGACUGAGACACGGCCCAGACUCCUACGGGAGGCAGCAGUAGGGAAUCUUCCGCAAUGGACGAAAGUCUGACGGAGCAACGCCGCGUGAGUGAUGAAGGUUUUCGGAUCGUAAAGCUCUGUUGUUAGGGAAGAACAAGUACCGUUCGAAUAGGGCGGUACCUUGACGGUACCUAACCAGAAAGCCACGGCUAACUACGUGCCAGCAGCCGCGGUAAUACGUAGGUGGCAAGCGUUGUCCGGAAUUAUUGGGCGUAAAGGGCUCGCAGGCGGUUUCUUAAGUCUGAUGUGAAAGCCCCCGGCUCAACCGGGGAGGGUCAUUGGAAACUGGGGAACUUGAGUGCAGAAGAGGAGAGUGAAAUCUCCACGUGUAGCGGUGAAAUGCGUAGAGAUGUGGAGGAACACCAGUGGCGAAGGCGACUCUCUGGUCUGUAACUGACGCUGAGGAGCGAAAGCGUGGGGAGCGAACAGGAUUAGAUACCCUGGUAGUCCACGCCGUAAACGAUGAGUGCUAAGUGUUGAGGGGUUUCCGCCCCUUAGUGCUGCAACUAACCGCAUUAAGCACAUGCCGCCUGCGCAGUACAGUCGCAGGACUGAAACUUCAUAGUAAAUGAACGGCGGCCGC